rnacentral:rRNA from 1 species
UACGUAGGGCGCAAGCGUUGUCCGGAAUUAUUGGGCGUAAAGAGCUCGUAGGCGGUCUGUCGCGUCUGCCGUGAAAACCCGAGGCUUAACCUCGGGCUGGCGGUGGAUACGGGCAGACUAGAGGUAGGUAGGGGAGAAUGGAAUUCCCGGUGUAGCGGUGAAAUGCGCAGAUAUCGGGAGGAACACCGGUGGCGAAGGCGGGUCUCUGGGCCGAUACUGACGCUGAGGAGCGAAAGCGUGGGGAGCGAACAGG